rnacentral:misc_RNA from 1 species
GGAUCUUCUCGCUGCCGAUGUACCCCUCGCUCGCCCCCGACCUCCAGGACAAGGUCAUCCACGCCGUACGCGAGGUGCUCGCCACUCUGUGACUGUCCGUCAACUCUCUUAUCGCAUCGCGUCGUUCACCGAGUCACUGGAGCAGAAGUGAAAGCACGCCCGCUCACCGUCGAGGGAGCCGUCGAGUUCACCCCCCGCGUCUUCCCCGACGACAGGGGCAAGUUCGUCUCGCCGUACCAGGAAGCGACGUUCACCGAGGCCCACGGCACCCCGCUCUUCCCCGUGGCGCAGACCAACCACAGCGUGUCCCGGCGAGGUGUCGUACGCGGCGUCCACUACACGGCGACGCCCCCGGGCACCGCCAAGUACGUCUACUGCGCCCGAGGCCGCGCCCUGGACAUCGUCGUCGACAUCCGCGUCGGCUCGCCCACCUUCGGCCGCUGGGACGCGGUGCUGAUGGACCAGCUGGAUCACCGGGCCAGCUAUUUUCCCGUCGGGGUCGGCCAUGCCUUCGUGGCCCUGGAGGACGACACCGACAUGUCGUACAUGCUCUCCGGGCGCUAUGUCGCCGAGCACGAACUCUCCCUGUCCGCCCUGGACCCGGACCUCGGGCUGCCGAUCCCCACGGACCUCGAACCGAUCCUCUCCGAACGCGACCGCGCGGCCGUCACCCUCGCCGAGGCCCAGGAGAAGGGCCUGCUGCCGGACUACGCCCGCUGCCAGGAGAUCGAGCGGGGACUCGUCCCCCGCGCGAGGCCGGCGGCGUAGCCCCGCACCGACGAGGCAUUUCACUCCCCUUCUCACUCCCUUUCUCACUGUCGAUCGAUCCGAAAGGCCGUUCCCAUGACCGACUCCACCCAGACCCUGCCCGUGCCGGAAGCCGUCGGUGAGCUGUACGACCGGCUGACGCUGAGCGCGAUGAACGACGGCUCGUUCAACCCCAAUGUGCACAUCGGCUAUUGGGACACCCCGGGCUCCGAGGCCACCAUCGAGGAGGCGAUGGACCGGCUCACCGAUGUGUUCAUCGAACGGCUGAACGCGUACGCCACCUCCCACGUCCUCGACCUCGGCUGCGGGGUGGGCGGGCCCGGCCUCAGGGUCGUGGCGCGCACCGGGGCACGGGUCACCGGCAUCAGCAUCAGCGAGGAGCAGAUCAGGACCGCCAACCGGCUGGCCGCCGAGGCCGGGGUCGCCGACCGUGCCGUGUUCCAGCAUGGCGACGCGAUGAAACUGCCCUUCGCCGACGCCUCGUUCGACGCCGUGAUGGCGCUGGAGUCGAUCUGCCACAUGCCCGACCGGCAGCAGGUGUUCACCGAGGUGUGCCGGGUGCUGCGCCCCGGGGGCCGGAUCGUCCUCACCGACAUCUUCGAGCGCCACCCGCGCAAGGCGGUACGACACCCCGGCAUCGACAAGUUCUGCCGCGACCUGAUGUCGACCACGGCGGACAUCGACGACUACGUGGCGCUGCUGCACCGCUCCGGGCUGCGGCUGCGCGAGAUCGUCGACGUCACCGAGCAGACCACGCUGCGCCUCGCCGACGAGAUCGGCAGGCUCGCGGCCGUCGAGGAGCGCCCCGUGGCCAUGGACGAGGGCAACUUCGCCUUCGGCGACGACUCCUUCAAGCCGUCCGACCUGGCGGGCGUCGACGACUUCGGCUGCCUCCUGGUCACCGCCGAGCGCCCCUGACCCGCUGAAACGCCGGGAGGUCAGGCGCACCUGCCCUCCCGGCGCCCGUCCCCCGGGUCGCGAGCGCAUUGCAUCCCCCGUGCCGCGAGCCCACGCAUUCCCCGGGCCACGAGCCCACGCGUCCGCGACACGGACCCACAAGGAGAGGCAAGAACGAGAUGACGCAUUCCGGUGAGCGGACCGAUGUGCUGAUCGUGGGCGGCGGCCCGGUCGGGAUGGCGCUGGCGCUGGAUCUGAGGUACCGGGGCAUCGACUGUCUGGUCGUCGACGCCGGUGACGGCACGGUCCGGCACCCCAAGGUCAGCACCAUCGGUCCCCGCUCGAUGGAACUCUUCCGCCGCUGGGGCGCCGCGGACGCGAUCCGGAACGCCGGCUGGCCCGCCGACCAUCCCCUGGACAUCGCCUGGGUGACCAAGGUCGGCGGCCACGAAGAUCC